AGUGAAUAGAUACCCCGGUAGUCCUAGCCGUAAACGAUACUCGCUAGGUGUCGGCCACGGUGCGACCGUUGUCGGUGCCGUAGGGAAAGCCGUGAAGCGAGCCACCUGGGAAGUACGGCCGCAAGGCUGAAACUUAAAGGAAUUGGCGGGGGAGCACCACAACGGGUGGAGCUUGCGGUUUAAUUGGAUUCAACGCCGGAAAUCUUACCGGGACCGACAGCAAUAUGAAGGCCAGGCUGAAGACUUUGCCGGAUUAGCUGAGAGGUGGUGCAUGGCCGUCGUCAGUUCGUACUGUGAAAGCAUCCUGUUAAGUCAGGCAACGAGCGAGACCCACGCCCACAGUUGCCAGCGUACUCUCCGGAGUGACGGGUACACUGUGGGGACCGCCGCUGCUAAAGCGGAGGAAGGAAUGGGCAACGGUAGGUCAGUAUGCCCCGAAUAUCCCGGGCUACACGCGAGCUACAAUGGUUGGUACAAUGGGUAUCUACCCCGAAAGGGGAUGGAAAUCUCCUAAAGCCAAUCUUAGUUCGGAUUGAGGGCUGCAACUCGCCCUC
rnacentral:rRNA from 1 species